rnacentral:lncRNA from 1 species
GGGGCCAGUAGAGGGGUGUCCAGGAGAAGGUGGGGGAGCUGUGACCCAGAGGGUGGCCCUGGAGGGACACUGGCUGCUGAAGGACACCGUGCAGGGGUGGGCAGCCUGCACUCUCCAGAGGGCUUGAGUUCCCCAGAUUCCACUGCUGGCCCGGGCGAGUGCCUGGAGCUGCAUGGCUUCCUGGAUCGGAGUGAUAAAGUGUGAGAGACAGCACAGGGCCUGUGGGCCUGUGACAGUUUCUGGGACAUGUACGGUGACUCAGCUUUGCCUUUUUUUGUUGUGGAUGCCGUUCUGGGGAUUGGAAUCAGGGCCUCUAACUGAGCUACAGCCCCAGCCCUUUUGUAAUUUAUUUUGAGAUAGGGUCUUGCUAAGUCACUAAGUUACCCAGCUAACCUUCCUGUCUCAGCCUCCCUAGUGUUACAGACCUUCUGACUGACAGGGACUCAGUACACACACCCAUCCCUCUCCUGGCCCUCAUGCUGGAUUAGGCUGCCUAGACCUCGGUCAGGUUGACAUCCGGUCUCUGUGGGGUUUGACCCUUUACUCUCAGAGGUGGGAAUGUGCCCCAGGAUGCAGGGGGCUCACGCCGGGCAACUCCCGUCUUGGGAGAGGGCUUUGUGCCCAUGAGGCCUACUCCAAGAAGUGGGGACAGAGGAAAGAACAAUCUCCUCCUCCUUUCUUUUUGGCUUUGGAGACAGGAUCUUACUGUGUUGUUCAAGUUGGCCUGGAACUCACAGAGCUCCUGCUGCCUCAGCAGACCGCAUGCUGCUUUGAACUGCAGGAUGACGGAGGGGAGUGUCUGCGAUGCGCGGUGCGGACCCAAAAGAUCCCUCCAGGUGCUGGCUGGGGCGCGCCGUCCUCGAGGUGGCCGGCGCCCAGGCCUCUCACCGCAGCCUCUCUUUUGGCGGGAACGGCCCCGCCGUCCGACUCGAUCCCCGAUGCCCGCUCCUAGGCCUGGGGCUUCCCGGCCGCACGGCUCGCGGGGCCGCCGGCUCCGCGUCCUCUCCGGGAUGGGCUCGCCGUCCUCCUUCGCCCGGGCUGUUGAGCGGCGACGACUUGGGCUUCUCUUGUGGAGGAGAUCCGCUUCUCCUCGCCGAGGACUCGCUCUCCUCCGCGGCCCGGCGGCGGCGGCCUCCCUCGGCGCGGCUGCCGCAGUGACCGCGACGGGCUCGGCGCCAGGUGGGGUCGGGCUCCCGCCGCACAGGGCCGCUCGGCGCUCCCGCUUCCCCACCACCGCCAGACCGUCCCGGUACCCACCCCGUUCCCCGGCUCCCCUCCUCUCCACUUCAUUCAAGCUGCCAGCCGCGCAGAGCCAAAGCCAAAGGGGCGGCCCGUCCAGCGGAGAGAGCGCCGGCUGCAAGGAGCGCCUCGCUAGAGCCCCGGACUUCCGCUUCCGGCCCGUGCGCGCCCCAGCAACCCUCAAUAAAGUUUUAUUAGAACACAGUCGUGC